CAGCCCAGAGCAGGAUCACCUGUUCCCCAUUGCACAGGAACUGCGUUGGGUGUGCCCUCCCAUGCCCAGCCUGCUCCCCUCAUUUGGUCUCAUCAUUGUUCCCUUUGUUGCGCUCCCUCAUUAUUCAGGAGGCAGGAGCUACCAGGCCUGAACAGAAUGGGGACAGUCCAGGAAGAGGAAACAUCCCACCAGGGAGGGGGAGCAUUUUCAAGUUUCUUGCCCUUCACUGGGUCUCCUCGAUGUGCCUCAGUGAUUUGAAUCAAUCCAGUUAUUCCCAUGCACCAAUAUUUUUC
rnacentral:lncRNA from 1 species